GGGCCAGUAGCUCUAAUUGGUAGAGCGGCAGACUCCAAAUCUGCGGGUUGGGGGUUCGAAUCCCUCCUGGCCUG
rnacentral:tRNA from 1 species